CCUACGGGUGGCAGCAGUGGGGAAUAUUGCACAAUGGGGGAAACCCUGAUGCAGCGACGCCGCGUGAGUGAAGAAGUAUCUCGGUAUGGAAAGCUCUAUCAGUAGGGAAGCAAAUGACGGUACCUGUCUCAGAAGCCCCGGCUAAGUACGUGCCAGCAGCCGCGGGAAUACGUAGGUAGCAGGCGUUAUCCGGAUUUACUGGGUGUAAAGGGAGCGUAGACGGCAGAGCAAGUCUGAAGUGAAAGCCCGGGGCCCAACUUCGGGACUGCUUUUGAAACUGCCCGGCUAGAGUGCUGGAGAGGUAAGCGGAAUGCGCGGUGUAGCGGUGAAAUGCGUAGAUAUUGGGAGGAACACCGGUGGCGAAGGCGGCUUACUGGACAGUAACUGACGUUGAGGCACGAAAGCGUGGGGAGCGAACAGGAUUAGAUACCCCUGUAGUC
rnacentral:rRNA from 1 species